UACAGAGGUCCCGAGCGUUAUGCGGAAUCACUGGGCUUAAAGCGUGUGUAGGCGGCUUCCUAAGUCCCUUGUGAAAUCCCACGGCUCACCCGUGGAACUGCUCGGUAUACUGGGUCGCUUGAGCCACUUAGGGGCUACCGGAACAAAUGGUGGAGCGGUGAAAUGCGUAGAUAUCAUUUGGAACGCCAAUGGUGAAAACAGGUAGCUGGGAGUGUGCUGACGCUGAGACACGAAAGCCAGGGGAGCAAACGGG
rnacentral:rRNA from 1 species